rnacentral:rRNA from 1 species
AGCAGCCGCGGUAAUUCCAGCUCCAAUAGCGUAUAUUAAAGUUGUUGCAGUUAAAAAGCUCGUAGUUGAAUUUCGGGAUCAGAUUGUCGGUCGUGCCUCGGUACGCACUGGCAUUAUUGGUUCCUACCUUCUGAAGAACCGCGAUGUCAUUAAUUUGGUGUCACGGGGAAUCAGGACUGUUACUUUGAAAAAAUUAGAGUGUUUAAAGCAGGCGCACGCUUGAAUACAUUAGCAUGGAAUAAUGAAAUAGGACGUUUGAUUCUAUUUUGUUGGUUUCUAGGAUCGACGUAAUGAUUAAUAGGGAUAGUUGGGGGCAUUAGUAUUCAAUUGUCAGAGGUGAAAUUCUUGGAUUUAUUGAAGACUAACUACUGCGAAAGCAUUUGCCAAGGAUGUUUUCAUUAAUCAAGAACGAAAGUUAGGGGAUCGAAGACGAUCAGAUACCGUCGUAGUCUUAACCAUAAACUAUGCCGACUAGGGAUCGGAUGAUGUUGAUUUUAUAAUGACUCAUUCGGCGCCUUACG